rnacentral:rRNA from 1 species
GACGAACGCUGGCGGCGUGCUUAACACAUGCAAGUCGAACGGAAAGGCCCUGCUUUUGUGGGGUGCUCGAGUGGCGAACGGGUGAGUAACACGUGAGUAACCUGCCCUUGACUUUGGGAUAACUUCAGGAAACUGGGGCUAAUACCGCAUAGGAGCUCCUGCUGCAUGGUGGGGGUUGGAAAGUUUCGGCGGUUGGGGAUGGACUCGCGGCUUAUCAGCUUGUUGGUGGGGUAGUGGCUUACCAAGGCUUUGACGGGUAGCCGGCCUGAGAGGGUGACCGGGCACAUUGGGACUGAGAUACGGCGCAGACGCCAACGGGAGGCAGCAGUGGGGAAUAUUGCACAAUGGGGGGAAGCCUGAUGCAGCAACGCCGCGUGCGGGAUGACGGCCUUCGGGUUGUAAACCGCUUUCGCCUGUGACGAAGCGUGAGUGACGGUAAUGGGUAAAGAAGCACCGGCUAACUACGUG